GAUGAACGCUGGCGGCGUGCUUAACACAUGCAAGUCGAACGGAAAGGCCCAAGCUUGCUUGGGUGCUCGAGUGGCGAACGGGUGAGUAACACGUGGGUGAUCUGCCCUGCACUUUGGGAUAAGCCUGGGAAACUGGGCCUAAUACCGGAUAGGACCAUCGUUUAGUGUCGGUGGUGGAAAGUUUUUCGGUGUGGGAUGAGCUCGCGGCCUAUCAGCUUGUUGGUGGGGUAAUGGCCUACCAAGGCGUCGACGGGUAGCCGGCCUGGGAGGGUGUACGGCCAAAUUUGGACUGAGAUACGGCCCAGACUCCUACGGGAGGCAGCAGGGGGGAAUAUUGCACAAUGGGCGCAAGCCUGAUGCAGCGACGCCGCGGGGGGGAUGACGGCCUUCGGGUUGUAAACGCCUUUCGCCAAGGACGAAGCGUUUUGUGACGGUACUUGGAGAAGAAGCACCGGCUAACUACGUG
rnacentral:rRNA from 1 species